UAUAUAUAUAUAUAUAUGUAUAUAUGUGUGUGUGUGUGUGUGUGUGUGUAUAUAUAUAUAUACACACACACAUAUAUAUACAUAUAUACAUAUAUACAUA